rnacentral:rRNA from 1 species
UAGGGAAUCUUCCGCAAUGGACGCAAGUCUGACGGAGCAACGCCGCGUGAGUGAAGAAGGAUUUCGGUUCGUAAAACUCUGUUGUUAGAGAAGAACAGCGCAUAGAGUAACUGUUAUGCGUGGGACGGUAGCUAACCAGAAAGCCACGGCUAACUACGUGCCAGCAGCCGGGGUAAUAAGUAGGUGGAAAGCGUUGUACGGAUUUAUUGGGCGUAAAGCGAGCGCAGGCGGUCAAUUAAGUCUGAUGUGAAAGCCCCCGGCUCAACCGGGGAGGGUCAUUGGAAACUGGUUGACUUGAGUGCAGAAGAGGAGAGUGGAAUUCCAUGUGUAGCGGUUAAAUGCGUAGAUAUAUGGAGGAACACCAGUGGCGAAGGCGACUCUCUGGUCUGUAACUGACGCGGAGGCUCGAAAGCGUGGGUAGCAAACAGG